rnacentral:lncRNA from 1 species
UCUAGAUUUCAGGCAAACUCAGAAAGGGUCUCAGCGUUUCCUGACCUGGGGGAGACAGAAAGAGCGGCAGUGAAAUUGCUUCGAGUCAGAAGCAAAAAGGGCGUUGGGAAUCCUGGGGCCUCGGAGCUGGGUUGGGGGGGGGGUCUGUCUGCCUGUAUGGAAGCCUCUUCAGGCUCUGGGUCCACCGUAAGCCUUGCCUUCCACCUCGGGGCUACCUUGGGGGGCUGGAGAAGGGACUUGUAAGGGGAAAGGAAGGGAGCUGUCUGCCUAAGAGCCCACUCCACUAGCAACAGCUUGUUCCGACUCUUCCUUGAAGCUUUCAAGAAUCAAGAAGCUACCCUUCUCCCUCUGAGGUCUCUUGAGAAGGUUCUAACCCACAGGAUUGAGGCUCCAGGGGAAAGGCCGCUGCUUCACUCCCUUCCGGGCCCGUGCAAGCGGAGAGCUCCCAGUCAUGCAGCAUCGGCAGGUUGGCCUGGGACCGUUUCCUCUGCAUCUUCCCUGAACUCUGCUCCUGGUGUGACGGGAAGGGAGGAAGGAGGGCCCCCCAUGGCUCAGUCCUCAGGAGCACUUUCUCCCCGAGAAUCCCUGUGGAUCACGUGGAGAUCAAGGCAGCUUGGGCAAAGUGGGGCCUCACUUCUCAGACCAGCCCCUUUCCUUUGGCCCUCCCCGAGAGAGACCGGCAUUCCUGCCCCGUGGGGCCGCCAUCUUGCACAGCUUUUUCUCAAGCCCCGCGUGCAGCGAAUAGCUAAGUCUGGGCACCUGGCCAUACAGCC